GAGGAAUCCCCAUGGAGCAGGGCUUUCUUCAGUGGGGCUUUGGUGCUCACUGAGUCUGCUCCUUGAGUGUGUCACU
rnacentral:pre_miRNA from 1 species